CAAGACCGCUAUUAAUUUGAAAUGACAAAUAAUUCGUGUUUUCAAUGUCGAAGAUUUUUGAUGAUAUUGAGUUAGAGACUUAAGCUACUAAUUUUACUUUAUAAUUUCCCUCAUCGCACACUGUAUAUUGGUAUUUAUUGGUAUGGCGUAGGACACGUUUUCAUUGGCCCAGUUCGGAGUAGGACUUUAAACCUCAUUUCAUUUCAUUUAUUUCCUAAUUAACACUAUAACAGGAGCCUGGAAAACCGGUCCCAUCUGCAAAAAUUCUUGGAUCCGCCGCGUGACUUCCCCGCACGAGCUGACAUUAUUUACGGCGAGAGGAAAGGGUCAAGAUGCACAAUCCCGAACAUUCUAGCGUUGUCUGUGUACGUAACGGUAUAUUUACAAUGCGUAUUAACCAUAGUAACUCAGUGAAUGCGGGCUUUCCAAAUCUUGACAAUCUAGACUUUAAAACAGAAAUUCUGAUUGGUUGGAGGUCUCGAUCAAUAACAAUUAUGAAAGUAGAAAAGUCGUGUCGCUCCUAGAAUAAUCGAGAUUUCAUGUAGGUUUAUAUAUAAAAGUGCACGUCAAAUCCAGAACUUCAAUGUACAUCGUAAUUGCCUGAAACCAGAUAUAAACACAGCGAACAACGGUAACAUCGUAAUUGUCUGAAACCAGAUAUAAACACAGCGAACAACGGUAAUAUUAGCAAGCCAUAAACAUGUCUUUACGAGCUUUAGUUCCCCUCUUGCAAAAUGACCUUUAUUUCGAUAGAAUGUUCGACGACAUAACUA